AGCGAACGCUGGCGGCAGGCUUAACACAUGCAAGUCGAACGCCCCGCAAGGGGAGUGGCAGACGGGUGAGUAACACGUGGGAACGUACCCUUUGGUUCGGAAUAACUUGGGGAAACUCAAGCUAAUACCGGAUAAGCCCGUAGGGGGAAAGGGUUACUGCAGAAGGAUCGGGCCGGCUCUGAUUAGCUAGUUGGUGAGGUAAGGGCUCACCAAGGGGACGAUCAGUAGCUGGUCGGAGAGGAUGAUCAGCCACACUGGGACUGAGACACGGCCCAGACUCCUACGGGAGGCAGCAGUGGGGAAUAUUGGACAAUGGGGGCAACCCUGAUCCAGCCAUGCCGCGUGAGUGAUGAAGGCCUUAGGGUUGUAAAGCUCUUUUACCCGGGACGAUAAUGACUGUACCGGGAGAAUAAGCCCCGGCUAACUUCGUGCCAGCAGCCGCCGUAA
rnacentral:rRNA from 1 species